AUGAAUAUUGGGCAUGUGUGUUCUUCCAAGGAUAGUGAUGAAGAUGACAGCCAAACAGAAGAGCAGAGAGCAGAAACUUUUAAUGAAGCACAGAGCUCUCAGAGCAAUGAUGACGCUGGCAGCCAAACAGAAGUGCAAAGAGCAGACCUUUCCACAUUGGAACAGAAAGAACUUCAGCAUAUUGCUCACCUGUGGAACACCCACAUCAUUCAGAGAAGCAGAAAUGCAGUUGCACCUAGUGGCCGGCCUCACAUGAUGUACAUGCUUCCUCAGCUUUUUGGGGAAAGGACCAUCUCAAACAUGCAUCUGUGCAAGCAGUACAAACAUGCAGAGCACAAUGCAUACAACGAGGACCUUACCCAUGUGAUGAGACUGCCAUCCACUGGAAGGAUAAGGUGAACACAGACAACUUCCUUCAUCUCCCAUCCACAAUUGAACUGUAUCUAUUUUUAAGAACUUGCAUACGUAAAGAUUAGUGAAAUAAGCUAUCCUGGCUCGUAAAGCACCACCUGCAUUAAUAUUUUUUUAUUCAUAUUGUCCACAGCCCCCCCCACCAGCAUCCUGGGCUGACAGGAGACUCCCACGCCAAACCCAACGGGAGAGCAGGCGCAGGGCGAAGGCGGAGGAGGAGGGGAGGACGAGACAGGGGACAGAGAGCAAGAGGAAAGAGUGGCAGAGAAACAUGCAGGCCCCCAGCCCCAAGGGCCACCCAGACGUGCACGGAGGAGGCAGGAGAGUAACACCAAACCACCCAGGGACCACGAGAGCACCCGAAAGGGACGCACGCCCGCGCAGAGGCACCCAACACACCCCAGCAAGCCACCCAGGUCAAGGCCACCCCACAAGCCCAUGGAGGUCCAGGACUACAGUUAGAUCAGUGUGUUAGUAAAGAGUGGUGCUGGCAGUCGCUUGCAGGCUAGAUCAUCAGGCUAAAAACGAAAAAUCAAGAUUCAAUGCAAUUAGACCUGUAUAUAUUGUUGAAACAACAACAAAAAGAGGCUUUAAAACUGUAAGUCUGUACCGUACUACACAAUGUUUUCAUCUGGUGGCUCUGUUUAGGGAAAAAGAACUACGCUUGUCACGCUAUUGUCGUCAGGUCCGCUCAUCGUUUGAGUGGUUUGCGUGUUUGUCCCGCUCCGCUCAGCCACCAGAACUCAAUCGUCUGGUGAGCACUUCCAGAUUAAUCACCUUUAUGAAAAAUACAAGGAGAUUAAGAUAGAUUCCAGGCUAGCCCACUCAUGUCUUUUGCACCAAGGCGAGGCAAAUUUAUUUGUAUAGCGCAUUUCAUACACAAGGCAACUCAAUGUGCUUUACAUGAUCAAAAAGUGCAACAGGAAACAUUCAACAGCUUAAAAUCAAUAAGAACAUUAAAGUCGGCAAAAAAUAAAAAUAAUCAAUAAACACA
rnacentral:lncRNA from 1 species